rnacentral:tRNA from 1 species
GCCUUCGUAGUGUGAUUGGUAAACACGUCCGACUAGCAAUCCGAAGGUCCGUAGUUCGAAUCCUGGGGAGGACA